CUGAGAAGUCCCUGCUCUCUUAAAUGCCUGGGCACUGAUACAAUUAAUGUUUAAUGCAGCAUUCUUGUUUCCUGGUUGCCAUUCUCUGCAAAACAAUGGGGUGUUUUGCCCAUGAAAUUACUGUUCUGAUUAGGAGGAAUAUGUCUGUCAUUAGACUUUCAAAUGCGAUCCUGUUGCAGCACAGCACUGGCAAUCCGGCCCAGAUUACUCUGGCGAUAUUUCUGUUCCUGAAGGAAAUAGCAAGUGCAAAUAGGCUUGGAGAGUUUUUUCCGGAGUUCAGCUGAUAUAAAUUCCCACCGGAGAGUUCGAGGCUGGCAAUCAGCUUACUCAUUCUUCGCUUAUCAUCACAAACCUCUGACCUUCAAACAUCGCUGGUGCGGUGCCCGGCUGAGCAAACUAAAAUAAAACCAGAUGGUGAUUCACUGCGCUCCCGGGUUGCGACGCGCGGCCUCUGCGCGCUCCCUCGCCGCCGGCCACCUCCCCGCAGGUUCCCGACCUUGUCCCACGUGUGGUGCCUGUCCCACGGCAGUGGUGCUGGUCCCUGGGUGGUGUUGGAGCAUGGCACGGGCUCCCACGCAGCCCUGGGCGAGAGGACGAGGAUGCAGCACGGGCAAGGAUGCUGAGCUGGUCGGGAUCCCCAGGUGGCCCCAGGCAUGCCUGCCGUGUCCUGGGACAUCUCUCCCUUUGCUCUCAUUGCAGCUCCCAUGAAGCUGGCGUUUGGGUUUUGAGGAGGCCGAUGCCUUUUCCAGGCAGCAUUUCCUUCUUCCCCCAGCCCGUCGGAUGCUGGUGACAGACUUUCUGCUCACUUUUUCCUAGAAAGAGCUGCCUUUAAGACCUCUCUAGAAGGAAACCCGCACGUGCCAGAGCCACCCCCGCUGCCCGGAGCCCUUGGUGCUCAGCGCAGGGGUGCUGCACCCGCAGGGGGAUGCUUCCCGUGCUGCUGGGGGGCGAAACAGGGGGGCUGCAGGGGGCCGCAGCCACUCCUGCAGGAGGGACGUGGGAGGCAACUGGUGUGCCAGGAGGCGCGGAGGAAUGCGGCAGCACGGGAGGGGGGGAGGGCAGAAAUUAAUAAUUAUCUAAAGCGCACCCCUAUCACUGCUCAUCAAAAUUUGCCCAUACUUCAUUCCAGCCUCCUUUCUUCUUCUUGCCUCCAGUAAGUACUUUAACAUCCUUUUUAAAAAUUAAAGGGGGAGGGUUAUGGAACAGAUAAGAGAUAAUUGCCUAGCUUUGACUCUUCUAUUGAUGUGAAAAUAGGAUUGGAAUUACUCACUCUGGUUGAAAGGUUAGUUGAAGGUUAUUACAGGAAAAUUGUUAUUCAUACAUUUUUUCUGUGCUGCUGGAUAGCCUAAAAGAUUAAAUUCACAGAGUGCAUAAUGACCCAUCACAACGGACAAUGGUGGGAAUAAUCUCCAGAGACUCCAGAUAACAGAACAGAGACUUCUUUGAAUAAUUCAUGGUUCAACAGACAUCCCUCACUAACAGAUUACAUGUGAGUUUUCAUUAGAAAGGAGAUAAUUUAAAGUAGCUUUAAAAAUAACCGGUAUUUUUAACGGAAGUGGAAUUACCAUAAGCAUUUAUGCAGUUUGUUUAUGCUUUAAUAAAUCUGCUUUCCUCCUGACCUUCAUGCCAUGGGAACAAAACGCAAGGGGAUAAAGAAAGUCAUUGUUUGUGACAAUCCCGCGCAGAGCUGAUAGAGCAUCGGUUUCAUAUUCUGCCUCGCCCUUGGCUGCCUUUAGCACACGGGAAGGCCCAGGGGUGAUGCUCUGCUGGCAGUCCCGGCGUGCAGCGCAGCGAGCGGCCGGCAAGAGCAUGCUGGAAGCUGUAGUCCAGGUGCCCCGGCAUCGCCAGCGCCGCGCUGCUCACAGCCCUCCUGCUCCUCCUCCUCCUCCUCCUCCUCCCUCACAAACACCGCCUCUGCUUGCUAAUCCUUCCCAGGCUUCGCAGCCUUCGUCGUGGGUUUAAGGCCAAGUGGCAAAAUACAAACGGAGGGGGAGCAGAGGCGGCGAUUAAGCAGCGAGGAAAGAUGAAGCAAAGACCUGAACGACAACUAACGCGUGUUCAGCGCGGCUUCCUGGCGCGCAAGCGCUCCUCCGGGGGUGUCUCAGCUUGGAAAAUGUUUGUCUUCUCCCAUCAGGUGAAUCCGUGGGCACGGUGUGGAGCAAAUGUUAAUUAAAGUACCACGGAGCUGCUUAGCAGUAGGCCAUCCCAGGCAAUCCCUUCUGCUUGCGUGGCCGCUGCUGACAGAGCUUAUUCAGAGCGUGCGAAGGGAGGACUUUGACCCAAAGCAACGGCUGCAAAGGAAACAGAAGCGAUUUUUGCUGCGAUCAGUGGCAUUUCCCUGGAUUUCUUCUGGCCUUGCCAAAAGCAGAAUGCGUUGCCGAGUCUGCAGGAAACGAAGUUUUCUUCAUUUUGCAGGAGACGCUUGCUUUAAUUGCCGUCUUCCCGCGACCCAGCAGCGGUCACCGCUCACCUCCAGCGGGGCCGGGGCUACGCAGCGA